AACGAACGCUGGCGGCAGGCUUAACACAUGCAAGUCGAGCGCGUAGCAAUACGAGCGGCAGACGGGUGAGUAACGCGUGGGAAUCUACCGUACCCUAUGGAAUAGCUCCGGGAAACUGGAAGUAAUACCAUAUACGCCCGAAAGGGGAAAGAUUUAGCGGGGUAUGAUGAGCCCGCGUUGGAUUAGAUAGUUGGGGGGGUAAAGGCCUACCAAGGCGACGCUCCAUAGCUGGUCUGAGAGGAUGAUCAGCCACAGUGGGACUGAGACACGGCCCAACCUCCUACGGGAGGCGGCAGUGGGGAAUAUUGGACAAUGGGCGCAAGCCUGAUCCAGCCAUGCCGCGUGAGUGAUGAAGGUCUUAGGAUUGUAAAGCUCUUUCACCGAUGAAGAUAAUGACGGUAGUCGAAGAAGAAGCCCCGGCAAACUUCGUGCCAGCCGCCGCAGUAACAC
rnacentral:rRNA from 1 species